rnacentral:rRNA from 1 species
AGUGAACGCUGGCGGUAGGCCUAACACAUGCAAGUCGAACGGCAGCACAGUAAGAGCUUGCUCUUACGGGUGGCGAGUGGCGGAUGGGUGAGGCAUACAUCGGAAUCUACUUUUUCGUGGGGGAUAACGUAGGGAAACUUAUGCUAAUACCGCAUACGACCUACGGGUGAAAGCAGGGGUUCUUCGGACCUUUCGCGAUUGAUUGAGCCGAUGUCGGAUUAGCUAGUUGGCGGGGUAAAGGCCCACCAAGGCGACGAUCCGUAGCUGGUCUGAGAGGAUGAUCAGCCACACUGGAACUGAGACACGGUCCAGACUCCUACGGGAGGCAGCAGUGGGGAAUAUUGGGCAAUGGGCGCAAGCCUGAUCCAGCCAUGCCGCGUGAGUGAAGAAGGCCUUCGGAUUGUAAAGCCCUUUUGUUGGGAAAGAAAAACAGCAGGUUAAAGCCCCGCUGUUCUGACGGUACCCAAAGAAUAAGCACCGGCUAACUUCGUG